rnacentral:lncRNA from 1 species
GCAUACAACAAAAUGUCAAAAUCAUUACUUUUCUUCUCUUUCUCACAACUCCCUUAGUUCUGAUCAGUCGCUAGCGGCAGCGACGCCGGAGGUCGUAUCAGUCAACCAGACAACCACCAGUGGGAUUGUUGUGUCACCGUCGCUGACCUCUGGUUGAUGCAGACAUCCCCACUACAUGUCACCUAACCGCCACCUAUCUUAGAUCUUGUCGAGCGACUUGCCAUGUCCUCAGUCACUGACCGCGACCAAGGGUGUCUGCUUCCAGCCGGCGGUAAAAAAAUGGGAGGCAGUGGGUGUCGCAGUUGUGGAAGUGGCUCUAGCGGCAAUUAGUGUUGUGAUGAUUAUGAUAUAGAUGUAAUGCCAUGAUGGCACAUUCCAGUGGUGGGUAUGAUUUCUCAUUUCUAAAGGAUAUGUGGUGGACGUGAAAAAGUUUAUUAGCUAGAUUGAAUUAAAAACUAAAACAUACACAUCCACACGAACAUAGACAUUUGGGCCAACUCUCAAAUUUGGGUUUGUGUUUGUUAACAGUUUUUUCCGAUUUUUUUUUUCUAAAUUUGCUAUGAUUUUAUUCAUGCAUCAUAUCAAAACAAUCAUGAUUCAUUAACAAUUUUUUAAAUCAUAGCUACUAUGAUAUAUCAUUAAUGAGAAACAUUAUGGAAAUUAACAAAAUCUCUUUUACACCAUCGUUUCUUUUAGAACAACGAUACACUUUCUCAAUUCUCAAGUAUGUAAUGAUUUAUUUAGCAUCUCCGAAACCAACAUAAUGUAAAUUAAUUCGCGUGUCAACCUAAUGAAAGAUACCGAACAUAAUGUUGACUAUAUAUAAAAGUUUUGACCCGCAAUGAUGUUAAUAAUGCAUACCCAACUAGAAUAAAA